AGCCAUGCAUGUCUAAGUAUAAGCAAUUAUACGGCGAAACUGCGAAUGGCUCAUUAAAUCAGUUAUUGUUUAUUUGAUAGCACCUUACUACAUGGAUAACCGUGGUAAUUCUAGAGCUAAUACAUGCUAAAAAUCCCGACUUCGGAAGGGAUGUAUUUAUUAGAUUAAAAACCAAUGCCCCUCGGGGCUUUCUGGUGAUUCAUGAUAACUUCUCGAAUCGCACGGCCUUGCGCUGGCGAUGGUUCAUUCAAAUUUCUGCCCUAUCAACUUUCGACGGCUGGGUCUUGGCCAGCCAUGGUGACAACGGGUAACGGAGGGUUAGGGCUCGACCCCGGAGAAGGAGCCUGAGAAACGGCUACUACGUCCAAGGAAGGCAGCAGGCGCGCAAAUUAACCAAUCCCGACUCGGGGAGUUAGUGACAAUACAUACUGAUACAGGGCUCUUUUGGGUCUUGUAAUCGGAAUGAGUACAAUUUAAACCCCUUAACGAGGAACAAUUGGAGGGCAAGUCUGGUGCCAGCAGCCGCGGUAAUUCCAGCUCCAAUAGCGUAUAUUAAAGUUGUUGCAGUUAAAAAGCUCGUAGUUGAACCUUGGGCCUGGCUGGCCGGUCCGCCUCACCGCGUGCACUGGUCCGGCCGGGCCUUUCCCUCUGGGGAACCUCAUGCCCUUCACUGGGUGUGCUGGGGAACCAGGACUUUUACUUUGAACAAAUCAGAUCGCUUAAAGAAGGCCUAUGCUCGAAUAUAUUAGCAUGGAAUAAUAGAAUAGGACGUGUGGUUCUAUUUUGUUGGUUUCUAGGACCGCCGUAAUGAUUAAUAGGGACAGUCGGGGGCAUCAGUAUUCAAUUGUCAGAGGUGAAAUUCUUGGAUUUAUUGAAGACUAACUACUGCGAAAGCAUUUGCCAAGGAUGUUUUCAUUAAUCAGGAACGAAAGUUAGGGGAUCGAAGACGAUCAGAUACCGUCGUAGUCUUAACCAUAAACUAUGCCGACUAGGGAUCGGACGAUGUUAUUCAUUGACUCGUUCGGCACCUUACACGAAAGUAAAGUUUUUGGGUUCUGGGGGGAGUAUGGUCGCAAGGCUGAAACUUAAAGAAAUUGACGGAAGGGCACCACCAGGGGUAAACCUAACCGCAGUUAACUCUGCCCCGGAAAGCAGCCCGAUGAAAAGGGUCAGUGGUGUUCCUCAGCGCUCGGCAGCCGACGCUGGAACUAAGUGCUAGUCCGCCCCGGGAGUCGCUGACUCCCGGGGCGGGCGACACCUUCAAAUUGCGGGGAGUUCCUAAAGCUCGCGUGACUAACCGGCGUGCGAAAGCGCGCCGGGGCCCGGCUAACAGCCACAGGGGAGUAACACUACGCGAGAUGCUACAAUGGAUGAUCCGCAGCCAAGCCCCUACAGCCCCCUCCCGGGGGGGCCACGGGGAAGGUUCAGAGACUUGAUGGAGGUGGUCGCGGGACCGAGGCCAUAACGGCCCCGGGGCAUCAGUGCCCCGGGGCGGCCUCGCCCGCGGCUAAGGUAAAGUCCGGCCCUGCGGGAAACCGCAGGGGGCUUAAACGGGAGCCUGCGGCUUAAUUUGACUCAACACGGGGAAACUCACCAGGUCCAGACACAAGUAGGAUUGACAGAUUGAGAGCUCUUUCUUGAUUUUGUGGGUGGUGGUGCAUGGCCGUUCUUAGUUGGUGGAGUGAUUUGUAAGUUCUUAUACCCCUAUUAUCUGUAUUCAGUGGGAACUAUUACUAACGUUCUGAUUUUCAGGUCUGCUUAAUUGCGAUAACGAACGAGACCUUAACCUGCUAAAUAGCCCGCGUUGCCUUGGCAGCGCGCUGGCUUCUUAGAGGGACUAUCGGCUCAAGCCGAUGGAAGUUUGAGGCAAUAACAGGUCUGUGAUGCCCUUAGAUGUUCUGGGCCGCACGGUACGUAAACACCCAACAACCCCCCAAACCCUAACCGAAUGAUAUAUACUAACUCGAUUUAUAGCGCGCUACACUGACAGAGCCAGCGAGUACUCCCUUGGCCGGAAGGCCCGGGUAAUCUUGUUAAACUCUGUCGUGCUGGGGAUAGAGCAUUGCAAUUAUUGCUCUUCAACGAGGAAUCCCUAGUAAGCGCAAGUCAUCAGCUUGCGUUGAUUACGUCCCUGCCCUUUGUACACACCGCCCGUCGCUACUACCGAUUGAAUGGCUCAGUGAGGCUUUCGGACUGGCCCAGAGAGGUUGGCAACGACCACUCAGGGCCGGAAAGU
rnacentral:rRNA from 1 species